UAUAAGCCCAGGUUCAGGCAGCUUCAUGUACUGAAACUCUUAGGCUAUUGAAUGAUUUUAUUUUUCUGAGGUGCUGGGCUCUUGUCUUUAUGGUGUAAAACUUGCGUAGACUGUAGGUGAGAAAAGGCUAGCAGACCCCUGGGUUCAUCCCUUGCUGCUACUCUUCCAUGGGAGUUGGGGUCUGAGAGAGCACUGAGAAGAGGAGAUGGCCUGGGUGCAGUGCUGUCUGUACGUGGAAAGGCUGGGACCCGGUGUCCUCAAGCAGGCUCCACAGGUGGCCCAGAAAGCUGCCAAACUACUAUAUUUCCCUUCCAUGCUGCUGCUUUUCCAGGGCAGCCUCUUCCUCUUGCUCAUUGGACCUCAGUUCUCAGCUCCAGUCCCUACCCCCUAAAAUCCAUCUCCUUCUGCAGCCUGUGGCUUCCUUCAUCUCACUCCCUCGACCCUGAAGUGAGGUGCUGAUGCUGCUAGUGGCGAAGAGGAAGGCUGAGAGAGGUGCAGAGCAAGGAGGAACCAGCUCUCGAGCCUGCCGCUUGCGCUCUGCCCCCGAAGCACAGAGGUAGGUUGGAAAGAGCUGCUCAGAGGAAGGACAAAGGCACAGAUGAGCUGCCUGGAAACAGAUAUGAACAGGAGAGCCUUCCCCCACUCUUCACUGUCUAUUAGGAGUCUCUGGAAUCAGUAAAUGCAAACUGGACUGUACCUAGCUGGCCUGAAACACCCCAUCUUGCUAAUAGGCAUUGAUUAUAUUGGGGAAUGCACAGUGCGUUCUGCUAACUCACAGAGGGCAUACAAGAUACCAAAGCGCUGGAUGGUGACAUUGAUGAUACAGCCGAAUCACAGACUGACUGACUUUUAUGAACAAGAACAAAAUAAAUUAAAGGAAACAGUAGUAACUUCUUCACAGUUUGGAGGAGGAGAACACAGCAAGAAACCUGAAAUCUUAGAAUCCCCAGGAAUAGGAAGUAAAAUAAAGCAAUGAAGAUUCUGGCUAGGAAUAUUUUGAGUUUACAUCAGAAGUUAAGACUGAAGAUUCACGCCAGAAGCAGAGAUCUUACCUGCCAUGGAGAAAUGAUACAAAGCACAUCAGACUCCUUUCUGUCAAUGGGCCAAAUUCUGGUCCCAUCAAAGUCAAUGGCAAGAUUUCCAGUGACUUCAAUGGGACCAGAUUCAGCACAAUUACACUAAAACAAUAGGUCCCAGCCAUUCUCACUCAGUAAUAUCCAGGGAUAAGAAGAUUCUUGUGAAGCUAAUUCAACCCUUGGUAUGGAAGACAUACAUUCCCAGUCAGACUCCCACUCAACCAUGCAAAUUUCACUGCCUAGUCCUCUAGAUCAGAGAUUGCCAAACAUUUUUGCUGAGUCCCCCUUCGUUGAUUCAUGUCCCAUGCUCAUCCCUCCAUAACUGUGAGGAGGGAGAGUAUCAGGGAAGAGGGGGGCUCAGUAGUCACAGGGGAACUGUGGUGGCUUGAUCCCAUGGGAGGGCUGGAGGAGGUCCUGCUGGGCGGAGCAGGGUAUCAUUAUUGCCAGGGUGGAGCCUUUUGCUCCCUGCUCGCAGAAUCCCUGCCAGCCUCCACAGCAGAGGAGGGUAACUGCUGGCUGCUGCAGUGGAGGAGCGAGAUGGGCAGGGAACCUGGUCUUGGCUGCACAGAGCCCCAAAUGCUUCCCCUGCAGAACAGACCCCCUGCCCCACUCUGACCCUGGCCUUUGAGCAUGGCCCCAUCAUGUCCUCGCACCCCCAUUAAUCUUAUGGUGCCCCUCCCUGGGGGACAUGCCUCACAGUUUGGGAAACUUUGCUCUAGACCUUCUGUCCUUUUCUAGCUAACAUCUGUAAUACUUCAAAUCCACCUUCCCAAACUCCAGGCUGUGUAUCUCCCAUUAUGCUUGUCAAAAAGCUACAUUUUCAAAGACAGCCUUUUUAGUAUGCACUUCGUUGCUCAUUCAUGUGCAACAAUGUGCCAAGGUAACUAAUGAUGGGAGGACUCUUCUGGCCAAAAUCUAUCACCCACUUGAAAUGGGUUGUCCCAUCCCCCCCAGAUUUACAACAAUUUGAGGUUCCAGUUCCCCUGGCUGUGGCACAACAUGAGCGCCGGACUGCUGCCUUUUUAAAACCAACAUAUUCUAUUCCCCAAACAGCCCUAAAAGGCCUGACACGGAUUGUGUUCAAACAACAGCCUGUAGUGUUUGCAUAGUACUAGCUUCCAUUUGGUUACAAAUAUAUAUAUUUCUUAUAUAAAAAUUUCCCUUGAAUGACAAUGGCUUAAAUAAUAAACAUUUUUUGCUA